rnacentral:rRNA from 1 species
AUUGAACGCUGGCGGCAGGCCUAACACAUGCCAGUCGAGCGAGCGGCGGACGGGUGAGUAAUGUAUGGGGACCUGCCCGAUAGAGGGGGAUAACUACUGGAAACGGUAGCUAAUACCGCAUACUAUCGGAUGAACCCAUAUGGGAUUAGCUAGUAGGUGGGGUAAAGGCUCACCUAGGCGACGAGCCCUAGCUGGUCUGAGAGGAUGACCGGCCACACGGGAACUGAGACACGGCCCAGACUCCUACGGGAGGCAGCAGUGGGGAAUAUUGCGCAAUGGGCGAAAGCCUGAUGCAGCCAUGCCGCGUGUAUGAAGAAGGCCUUAGGGUUGUAAAGUACUUUCAGCGGGGAGGCGUUACCCGCAGAAGAAGCACCGGCUAACUCCGUGCCAGCAGCCGCGGUAAUUC